rnacentral:rRNA from 2 species
CGGAGCAUGUGGUUUAAUUCGAAGCAACGCGAAGAACCUUACCAGGGCUUGACAUGCCGCUGACCGGUGCAGAGAUGCAUCUUUAUCCUUCGGGGUACAGCGGACACAGGUGGUGCAUGGUUGUCGUCAGCUCGUGUCGUGAGAUGUUGGGUUAAGUCCCGCAACGAGCGCAACCCUUGUCUUUAGUUGCCAUCAUUAAGUUGGGCACUCUAAAGAGACUGCCGAUGACAAAUCGGAGGAAGGUGGGGAUGACGUCAAAUCAUCAUGCCCUUUAUGUCCUGGGCUACACACGUGCUACAAUGGUCGGUACAACGAGAAGCAAGUCAGCGAUGGCAAGCAAAUCUCUAAAAGCCGAUCCCAGUUCGGAUUGCAGGCUGCAACUCGACUUCAUGAAGUUGGAAUCGCUAGUAAUCGCGGAUCAGCAUGCCGCGGUGAAUACGUUCCCGGGCCUU